rnacentral:rRNA from 1 species
UGCCAGCAGCCGCGGUAAUAUGUAGGUGGCAAGCGUUGUCCGGAUUUAUUGGGCGUAAAGAGCGCGCAGGCGGUCAGGUAAGUCGAAUGUGAAAGCCCCCGGCUCAACUGGGGAAGGUCAUUCGAUACUGCUUGACUUGAAGAUGGGAGAGGGAAGCGGAAUUUCCGGUGUAGUGGUGAAAUGCGUAGAUAUCGGAAGGAACACCAGUGGCGAAGGCGGCUUUCUGGCCCACUCUUGACGCUGAGGCGCGAAAGCUAGGGGAGCGAACGGGAUUAGAUA